rnacentral:rRNA from 1 species
GACGAACGCUGGCGGCGUGCUUAACACAUGCAAGUCGAACGGAAAGGCCCUGCUUUUGUGGGGUGCUCGAGUGGCGAACGGGUGAGUAACACGUGAGUAACCUGCCCUUGACUUUGGGAUAACUUCAGGAAACUGGGGCUAAUACCGGAUAGGAGCUCCUGCUGCAUGGUGGGGGUUGGAAAGUUUCGGCGGUUGGGGAUGGACUCGCGGCUUAUCAGCUUGUUGGUGGGGUAGUGGCUUACCAAGGCUUUGACGGGUAGCCGGCCUGAGAGGGUGACCGGCCACAUUGGGACUGAGAUACGGCCCAGACUCCUACAGGAGGCAGCAGUGGGGAAUAUUGCACAAUGGGCGGAAGCCUGAUGCAGCAACGCCGCGUGCGGGAUGACGGCCUUCGGGUUGUAAACCGCUUUCGCCUGUGACGAAGCGUGAGUGACGGUAAUGGGUAAAGAAGCACCGGCUAACUACGUGCCAGCAGCCGCGGUGAUACGUAUGGUGCGAGCGUUGUCCGGAUUUAUUGAGCGUAAAGGGCUCGUAGCGGUUGAUCGCGUCAGAAGUGUAAUCUUGGGGCUUAACCCUGAGCGUGCUUUCAAUACGGGUUGACUUGAUGAAGGUAAGGAAGAAUGAAAUUCCUGUGGGACCGGUGGAUUGCCCAAAUAUCAGGAGAGAACCCAUGGGCAAAGGCAGUUCUCUGGCCCUUUCCUGACCCUAAGGACCAAAACCUGGGGAAGCGAACAGGCUUAAUAUCCCCUGGUAUCCCCCCCUGUAAACAGUGGUGACUAGGGGUGGGGUCCAUUCCCCCCUUUCCGUGCCGUAUCUCACGCUUUACAUACCCCCCCUGGGGAGUACGGCCGCAAGGCUAAAACUCAAAGGAAUUGACGGGGCCCCGCACAAGCGGCGGAGCAUGCGGAUUAAUUCGAUGCAACGCGUAGAACCUUACCUGGGUUUGACAUGGAUCGGGAGUGCUCAGAGAUGGGUGUGCCUCUUUUGGGGUCGGUUCACAGGUGGUGCAUGGCUGUCGUCAGCUCGUGUCGUGAGAUGUUGGGUUAAGUCCCGCAACGAGCGCAACCCUUGUUCACUGUUGCCAGCACGUUAUGGUGGGGACUCAGUGGAGACCGCCGGGGUCAACUCGGAGGAAGGUGGGGAUGACGUCAAGUCAUCAUGCCCCUUAUGUCCAGGGCUUCACGCAUGCUACAAUGGCUGGUACAGAGAGUGGCGAGCCUGUGAGGGUGAGCGAAUCUCGGAAAGCCGGUCUCAGUUCGGAUUGGGGUCUGCAACUCGACCUCAUGAAGUCGGAGUCGCUAGUAAUCGCAGAUCAGCAACGCUGCGGUGAAUACGUUCCCGGG